rnacentral:rRNA from 1 species
CCUACGGGAGGCAGCAGUAGGGAAUAUUGGACAAUGGACGCAAGUCUGAUCCAGCCAUCCCGCGUGAAGGAUUAAGGCCCUAUGGGUUGUAAACUUCUUUUCUUUGGGAAUAAAAAGCGGUAUUCAUAUCGCCUUGAAGGUACCAGAGGAAUAAGCACCGGCUAACUCCGUGCCAGCAGCCGCGGUAAUACGGAGGGUGCAAGCGUUAUCCGGAUUCACUGGGUUUAAAGGGUGCGUAGGUGGCUUUGUAAGUCAGCGGUGAAAGCCUGGAGCUCAACUCCAGAAUUGCCAUUGAUACUGCAGAGCUUGAAUCAAGUUGAGGUGGAUGGAAUAUUACAUGUAGCGGUGAAAUGCUUAGAUAUGUAAUAGAACACCGAUUGCGAAGGCAGUUCACUAAGCUUGUAUUGACACUGAGGCACGAAAGCGUGGGGAUCAAACAGGAUUAGAUACCCUGGUAGUCCACGCCCUAAACGAUGCAAACUCGACAUUAGCGAUAUACAGUUAGUGUCCAAGCGAAAGCGUUAAGUUUGCCACCUGGAAGUACGACCGCAGGUUGAAACUCAAAUGAAUUGACGG